UUCAAACUGAAAUUUAAAUCAACAUUCAAUCAAAUUUCACAUUUAUAUCUGAUUUGCGAUUUGAAUUGCAAUUUGUGAGCCGUUGAAUUAUUUAUAACAAGCAUGAGCAGCAGGAGGAUCAUUAAUAAAUAACGAAGCAACCAGAAGGCAAAGAUUAUUAUUAAUAUUUUCCAUACACUUGGCGCAUUUUGUUUGAGUUCGUGAAUACUGGAGUCGGAGAGUCAGUGAGUCUCAAUUCUCUUCACUAACAAUGGCAACUGUUGGGGCAUAAAGCAUAAAAAUAAAUCAAGACCAAGGGAAUAAAAAUCAAGCCUCAACAUGCAGGUCACAUCCUUGUCAGGCAACGGCAACGGCAACGUCGAACGGACAGGGACACGGGGCUGAAAGGACGACGUACCACAUCACACAUGCGAGGGAGUCCAGUUUAAGGCCAGUUGGAGUACAAGCCUGAGACCGAGUUAAACAAAGAGCCAUCUGGGCUACGAGUUUAUGGUUGAACUAAAAAUCCGGAAAGAAGAAUGCAUGAAGGAAUAGACCGCUGGACGAGGGAAAAGACGAUUGCAGGCUCGCUUAGCCCUGGACCAUGCAAACAAUGCCAUUGAGGGCCAUGCCCGGCUUAAUGAGUAUAAGCCACAAAAUCAACGAGUUAAAUCGUGUAAAGAAUAAAGCUCCAAGCAUUCAAUGCUGUCAAUACACAGAGAGAAAUAAAUAGUAUUAUAAUUAAGUAAAAAAGAA